rnacentral:rRNA from 1 species
AUGGAAGGGAGGUGCGACGCCGCCGCGUUGCCGUCGGAGCCUGUGAUGGUGAGGCUCAUCGGCUGCUUCGGCAGCCCGGUCGUCCACCGCGCCGAGCUGGCCCUGCGCCUCAAGGGCGUCCCCUACGAGCUCAUCGAGGAGGACCUCAACAACAAGAGCGAGCUGCUGCUGACGCACAACCCCGUCCACAAGACCGUCCCCGUGCUCCUCCACGGCGACCGCUCCAUACCGGAGUCGCUCGUCAUCGUCGAGUACGUCGACGAGGCCUUCCCCGCCGGCCCGCCGCUGCUCCCAUCCGACCCCCUCGCACGCGCCAACGCCCGCUUCUGGGCAAGAUUUCUCGAAGAGGAGUUCAAGAAGCCCUUGUGGAUUGCGCUGUGGACGGACGGCGAGGCGCAGGCAGCGGCGGCGAGGGAGACGAAGGCGAACCUGACGCUGCUGGAGGCGCAGCUGCCGGAGGGGAAGAGGUUCUUCGGCGGCGACUCCAUCGGCUUCCUCGACAUCGCCGUCGGCGGGGCGCUCGCGCACUGGAUGGGUGUGGUCGAGGAGAUGGCCGGCGUGCGGCUGCUCACCGAAGAGGACCACCCGGCGCUGUGCCGCUGGGCGAGGGCGUACAGGGCCGACGAGACCGUGCGGCAGUGCCUCCCGGACAGGGACCGCGUGCUCGCCGCCUUGGCGGCCAGGAAGGACCUCUACGUCUCCAUUGCCAAGGCCAUGGCUGCACAGAAGUAG